rnacentral:rRNA from 1 species
GACAGAGGGUGCAAACGUUGUUCGGAAUUACUGGGCGUAAAGCGAGUGUAGGCGGUCUUCUAAGUCGGAUGUGAAAGCCCCGGGCUCAACCCGGGAAGUGCACUCGAAACUGGAAGGCUAGAGUAUCGGAGAGGUUGGUGGAAUUCUCGGUGUAGAGGUGAAAUUCGUAGAUAUCGAGAGGAACACCGGUGGCGAAGGCGGCCAACUGGACGAAUACUGACGCUGAGACUCGAAAGCGUGGGGAGCAAACGGG